GAAGGUGGCGAGCGUUACUCGGGAAUGACUAGGCGUAAAGGGCAGGUAGGUGGUCUGAUAAGUCUGUUGUGAAAGCUCCUGGGCUUAACUGGGGAGAGGUCAACAGAUACUGUCAGGCUUGAGUAUAGGAGAGGGUACUGGAAUUCCCGGUGUAGCGGUGAAAUGCGCAGAGAUCGGGAGGAACACCAAUGGCGAAAGCAGGUACCUGGACUAUUACUGACACUAAGCUGCGAAAGCUAGGGGAGCAAACAGGAUUAGAUACCCUGGUAGUCCUAGCUGUAAACGAUGCACAUUAGACGUGAGGGGUAUCGACCCCCUUCGUGUCGACGCAAACGCAUUAAAUGUGCCGCCUGGGGAGUACGGCCGCAAGGUUG
rnacentral:rRNA from 1 species